AAGAGCCAAGAGAUGAUGUGAAUCCAAGAAACAGAGCUAUAAAAGGAGGUCCAAAAGGAGGCGAAAUUCAGUCGUUACAUGUAUUAGUACGCACCAUCAGCACUCGGCGUUACUGAGGACAAGUAUUAAUACG